rnacentral:rRNA from 1 species
GACGAACGCUGGCGGCGUGCUUAACACAUGCAAGUCGAACGGAAAGGCCCUGCUUUUGUGGGGUGCUCGAGUGGCGAACGGGUGAGUAACACGUGAGUAACCUGCCCUUGACUUUGGGAUAACUUCAGGAAACUGGGGCUAAUACCGGAUAGGAGCUCCUGCUGCAUGGUGGGGGUUGGAAAGUUUCGGCGGUUGGGGAUGGACUCGCGGCUUAUCAGCUUGUUGGUGGGGUAGUGGCUUACCAAGGCUUUGACGGGUAGCCGGCCUGAGAGGGUGACCGGGCACAUUGGGACUGAGAUACGGCGCAGACUGGUACGGGGGGCAGCGGUGGGGAAUAUUGCACAAGGGGCGGAAGCCUGAUGCAGCGAUGCCGCGGGCGGGAUGACGGCCUUCGGGUUGUAAACCGCUUUCGCCUGUGACGAAGCGUGAGUGACGGUAAUGUGUAAAGAAGCACCGGCUAACUACGUG